AGUCAACUCGAUACUCGGUGGAUUCUUAAACAGAGCUCACUAUAGGUCUUAGCUCAUUAACGUUGUAGAACUGCUAUAACACGGGUAUUUUACUGCUGAUGCUCAACAUCACUCUUCACCUCGUUUAAAGAAAUCAACUCACGUAACAGCGCUAAAGGAUCGCCGGGCAAGGGGAGAAAAGGGAUCGUCUGCUUUUGCAUAACGAGGCGUUUUCAGGCAGCAAAAAUAUCCCGCAAACAUAGCCGGUCUUCCACGGGGUCGGUUCGUUGGGCCAUUCUUGCGCUUUAAGAUUCUACUCGUGCUUUUCGCACUUUCAGUACCAUCUUGAUCGUAGUUAACAAUCUUUUGAUCAGAUAUACAAUAGAGGAGGGUACACGUGGUUACACUUAGUUGCUUUCCUAGGAGCUGCGUCCAUAUAAUGGCCACCACUUUUUAGUAUAAAGGAGAUUUUUCUUAUGCGUAACGAUAGCAAGAAUACGAAGCAAAAUUUCUUCUAAAAUUGAAUUUCGAGUACGAAUUCCAGGACCUGUCAGAACAACGGCUUAUCUGACAAAAAAACACGUAAUUUUUGUGUUGCGCUGUUAAUUUCGACAACGCUAAAGGUUAAUCCUAAUCUGAAAUUGAUUUUACGAAACGAUAGCAAAGGACCUGUCAUAAGCUGAUUGAGGUUUACUGAUUGAAGAAGUUUGUGUCUUCAUAUGUGCAGUUACUCACAUUUCAAGAAACGGUGGAAAACAGGACAAGGAGUUUGGUGGGAAAGAUGGUAGUAGUCUCCUAGAAAUAUAAAUCCUACAGAUCAUACCUUACCCUCUUACUGAGCAGUGCAAUGGGUAUAAAAAUUGACAGCCGUCAGAGUUGGAUCGUAGCAUUAGCCACUUCCCUGCUGAUGUCGUGUAGUGUCUGGACUUUCCGAUGUGCGGGCCUAAUUUACGUUGCACUUAUUGACCAGUUAGGCGUGAGUGCCGAAAAUGCGUCGUGGCCGAUCGUCAUCUUUUGCGCUGCGUCAUCUGUUUUGGGUCCAGCGGUCGGUGCCGCUAGUAUGUAUGUAUCAAUCCCCACCUUAUUCAUAUUUUCCUCGUGCUCAGGUACACUAUCAGUCGUGCUGGCCAGUUAUGCUCGAAACAUUUGGGAAAUCACGCUGACGCUUGGUCUUAUGCAAGGAGUAUGCUCGGCUUUUCCGUUGACAUUAGGUAGCGUCCUCGUGACCCGUUAUUUUGAUCGCUAUCAAACGACUGCCAUUGGAGUGUUUCUAUCUGGACCUGCUAUUGUCUCAAUGGCGUUAACUCUAGUAAUGCAAGCAAUUUUAGACGAAUUUGGUUUGCAAUGGAGUCUUUUAUUGCUAUCUGGUCUCACUGCUCAAUCUAUCCCUGCCGCAUUACUAAUCAAAACAAUUGGACCCCCAGAAGAACAAACAGACCAAACGCAGAGGGGCACGAUAACCAAAAAGCCGGUACACCUACCAAUGUCAAAGAGUGCAUCGUUUACAGCACUUACAUCUAGUAAGACAUCGGCUGGGCGAACCGGUUACACAGACUACCACACCAAGAAGAAAGUACCAAAAAUGGUUUUGAGACAACUUAGAAGAAAUAAGGUUUGCCGUGACACGCCGCGGAUCGCUGAAGCUGGCGAUGCUGUAUUGUCGUACAUGGUCGAGAGAACUGGUCGAAAAAGGAACUCCGAACGCUCUGGCAAGCCUCCAGACACCUUUACGCUCUUACGGCUUAGAUGGUUUUAUGCCUUGUUGGCAGUAACCGUGGGGUUUAUUUUCGUUAACACGACUCUCCUCAACCUCAUCGUGGCUUUGGCACGCGAUAAGAAAGUAACGUCAGAUGUUGCUGGGCGCCUCGUCGCAUUGCUUGCUUUCGGAGAUCUCUUGGGCAGAAUUUGUUCUGGUUGGAUAACUGAUAAAGAAUUUAUAAGUCGAGAACAUCUGAUGUUGAUUAACUACACAUUGCUAUCUGUCGGCCUUAUUGGGCUGGGAACAUUUUCUCAUCCAAUAACCUUGUGCUUCCUGGUCACGCUUAUUGGAUGGCUACUUGGGUCGUCCGUGAUUUUGUUUACUAGUAUUACAAGGAACCGGCUUGGCUUUAAGCUUCUUGCCCUGUCAUCUGGAUGGUAUUUCUUUUUCGGAGGCAUAUUGGCCCUUACUCGUCCGCCAAUGAUUGGUUAUUUCCAGUAUACGAUCGGUUCGUUUGAUCCCAUUAUGUAUUUAAUGGCAGCUGUAUUGCUUGUGUGCGCAAUACUUUAUAUCAUCGCACUGUGGUUUGACAAUGAGGAGUCGCCGAAUGCCCUUCAACUCGACCAAUGGGAGUUUAGCGUAGACGAAGAACUGGAUAUGCGUUGGGGUCGAGACCGAGCUACAUCAUUCACAUCAUCGAUAGCCUCGCUGUGAGAACGAUGCACUCGAUCUAAUAGCAAAACACUUCUGUCCUUAGGUCACACCUUCAAUUAGGACCAUGUCUGUUUUCUUGGGACGAAGUUACAAGACGGAGUGCUGUCAUCGGACAGGCAAAUAACGGCGUUAUGUCUCAUCGGUGCAGAAAUCGAUAUCGAUGUGAAUCACGAGCAAUGUUCCGGACGGCCGCGAGAAGCAGACGAUGAUAAACAGCGGCGUAAUCAGUUUUACGAGCCCACAGUACCUUGUAUAUCAGUCGACACUACCUUGAAUCACCUUUGCACAGUAGGAAAGAUUUUACAAGCAGGAAGCCAGGUCAUGCGCACAUUUAGAAGCGUCAUUGCCAAUCGCUUGAACAUAUGCAUAUGCUUGUUUGAGGGAAAAAUUUUUUUUCUAUAAAACUGGUACCAGAGACGACAAUGUUUUGUAACAACAUGAUACACAACAGACAUAGAAUAGGUACCUAAACCCUGUACGACUUGUAUUGAAAAAUUUCGUCAUAUUGAAAUGGGCUGUUUCACUAAGAGCUUUUUAUUUAGAGCAAUAGAAUGGCGCAUGAAGACGGGGCUCGACUCAUGUCAUUCAACAGGGUCGGGUAAUCGACAGAAAGUGUCUGUGGAGAAAAAGGCCAACAUAAGGCUGGUCUUGUUCUAUGACAGGCUGCGGGAUGUCUCAUGUGGCUUUCAUGGCCUGGGCGACCUUUGAUAGACAAUAAAUAUAAAUUCUGUCCAAACCUCGCUUUAUCGUAUUACACCAUUUUGGAAUUAUAUAACAUGGGCGGAAGACGAACGAUUCAAAACAACUAACAGGAGCAUGAAGAUGGAUUUAUCGACGGACCACCUUUACGUAUGCCUCAUUUGUUCGUUAACAGAUCCAUCUGAUGUUCAAACGAGAAAAGAAGCUAAAAGAAUAAAUUAUUUUUGUAAUAGUAAUUAGUCUCUUUCGAAUGUCUGAAACGUUUAAAAUCAGCUGAAAAACAAAGUUUGCUUUUGCUUGAUCUUGAAUAUAAGGUGUUAACCAAUAAUAUCUUACGACCUUGUGUCAUAUAUGAAAAAUAAUCCCAAUAAUUACUGAUUUGCAAUAGAAGUCAUUAUAUUAUUGUAUUAUGUAUAAAAUGUUUCCGGUAUUAAAAGCAGCGGUCUAUGCAUUUUUAAUGCAAAGAGAAAGCCUUCGGUUGUGGCUAUGUGAGAUGUUCAUCAUCACCUUACUUUGCAGACUUGGAUUUGAUGUCCACAUGACGACAUCCUAGCAGACUGAAGGUACACUGUUUGAAAUGCACGCCAAUACUUGCCCUUAUUAGAAAGCUUGUUACACUAAAAAGGUGGUAAAGGUACCUUCAUUCUAUCAAGAAAGUUGUAUCGUAACUUCUGUUGGUAACUCCAAUGAAUACAAUUUCUUCCCGAGUUAGCCAUUUACAAUUUCAAAAACUUCUCCAAUAUUCUCAAGUGUUUAUUUAAAGGUUCGAACAAAUCGCAUCAUUGUAAUUGAUGUCUGUGAGGUAUCAUUGGUCUUGAGUGUCGGCUGCAGAUGUGCCGAAUGUCGAAACAUAUAAAGAGAACUGAAUAUAUCACGAUCAAUUAACCGUUUGAUUGCUAAAUGUGUCACAGUGAAUAGCCAGAAAUAAUGGUUCGCAACUUGACAACCACACGUACGAUUGUUUUGUGUUCACAAUUCUGUACAUAACUGAGGUUUGCUGAAGACUAAAGUGCUCUCGUGAGCAUGAGCUCAACAUGAGUUCCACUUAGUGGUUCCAAACCGGGAUACGGAAAGAAAGAGAGCGCUAUUCGGGCCACUUCGACUAUAUCCCGUCAGCGGUAACCAGCCUUCUGAAACAACGGCGGCCCUAACGUGGAGUAAUAUGGAAUUCUCUUUUAUAUCGCACAUGACCGCCUCAUCGAUUUGCAUCUCUGAUGCUUACGACUGGGAUCGUCUGGAAGAAGAUUUGUAAAGAUAUAGCACUCGUCUAUAUAACUGAGUGGCAAUCAUUCUUUUCGUAUCAUCAUCCCAUAUGAUGCUUGGUAGGGUAAAUGAACGUAUAUCGACCGAGUAUUCGUCUUAAUAUUUAGCAGUGUCCCGCAUAAAUUAUUAAUCUUCGUACUAAACCUCCCAAUUAGCAAAGACGGAUGUAUCGGCAGGACGAAUAAUUAUUACGUUUAGAUGAUACGCUUGUAUCUAUAUGAAUUUGUCGGCAGUAAGAAAAACAAGAAAAAAAAGUGAUUGCUUUUAUGUUGGUAUGAUCUUUUUUAAUUGUAGGAUCUGCCAUAUGAAAACCUUCAGGACCAACAUUUUAUGCAAGAAACGCUUAUUAUUUAUACCGUCUCAGUCACGACAAAAGGUCCAAAAGUUAAGAAUUCUUAUAUUUAUCUAGUGCUUUUAUAUGCUUCCAUGCUUAACCUUUUGACGUACGCAAGCCUAUUUGUAUUAAAAGUAGAUGUCCCUAAGCAGACUUUAUAUCCGACACUAAAGCAGGGGUCUACGUUUGCGAGUUUGGAAUUCUUCUGAUAGGUUUUUGUACGUAAUCUAAACGGAAGCUACUGGUCGGUAGCACAGUAAAAAGGCCAUUCCAUCGGCCCGUUUGGGACUGACAUGACGGAAGUCUAACCCGUAACAAUUUUUUACAUGAUAUGAAUGCCAUGGAAACGGUUACCAAAUGUUCCCUUGGAUACUCUACGAAAAGAACUGAUAUAAUUAUAAUAAUAAUAAUUAUGUUCUUUGACAAGAAAUUACUUUGUCGUUCUCGCACGAACACUAGGCUUAUACGUAGCUUCAAAGCCCUCCAGGUUUUUGAAUGUACAGUUACUUGAGUUUUAUUUCAUGCUAAUGAAUAUACAUUCAGACCAGCGGAGCUCAAAUGUUUAUAACCUGAACUAUUAAGGACUUGUUAAUCAAUGGCCAAAUAAUGCGUCCGCUUAAACAAAGUGGAAAUAGCAACUUUUAUGCUCAUUUUACCCCAGCAUGUGGAAAACAUUUUAUUAUUCAUCAUUAAUGAUAAUAAUAUUGGCCUUUAUAUUUUACAUGCUUUUAAUUCAAUGGAAUAUUUCGUAACUCACUUCCAGAAUAGGGGUUAUCACAAUUCUGUUCUCUGACAGAAACUAAUUAAUUUCUGUGGAUUAAGACGACACCUCUUUAAUCUUCAGCUAGUAAAUUGGAAAAAAUUGUCUCUGUAUAUGUAUAUAAAUCCAUUACAAUAUACAUAUAAUAUAUAUAUAUAUUGUAAUGGAUUUAUUAUUAUAAGGUAAAUGUAUGAACAAAUGCGCAUUUACAUCUCUAUAAGCAUGGGGCAAAAAUGCUGUCAGACGCUCGGUUCCUCUAGCCAGCAACGAAAGUAAACUAGUCCACCUCAAUAUGUAUAUCUAUAGGAUAAAGACAAAAUGACGUAACUAGAUAACUAUUGAAUUAAAAUAUCGCUAACUAACGUAAAAAAGUCUUUUUCACCCGUCGGCGAAACGUGUUAUUUAUCAUAUUAAACCAAAUGUAGCACAACUCGAUCAUUUCAUCCAUCGGUGUCUUUCGACAACUUUGUCAGUUUUUCUUUCUUUUUAUACAUCGCUUUUUCCGACUUUUUGUAUUCGUUACCAUCGCUGAUUUUCUGCUUUAAUGUUGUCAGUAGUCAAACAUCAUGGCCACUUCAUUUCUGGUAUUUCAAUUAUUUUUACGCUGGUUGAUGUUGACGGUUUUGCUUCUCUUUGUCGCUGUAGAAUAUGUACGGCAAUGUACUGAAUGCUGAUAUUUGGCCUGUUGCUUGCUAUUGUCGGCCUUAUAGUAUUAUUGUCUUAUUUUUUUACUUUACAGGUCCUUCAUUUAAAAGUAGCAGACUUCGUAUAAUCAGCCUUUCUGUAGAUCACCUCUCUCUCUCUCUCUCUCUCUCUCUCUCUCUCUAUAUAUAUAUAUAUAUAUAUAUAUAUAUAUAUAUAUAUAUAUACGAUCUUUAAUUUUGUCGUUCUAUUACUGUCAAGUUUUCGCCAUUCUCUGAUUUUUGUCUUCUUUUUCUCAUGUGGCCCCGUUCCUUUCGUUUCUUCGCUGUACUUAAAUGUUUAUUAUUAUCAGCAUUAUCUUUCAUCUCCUAUACUCCAUUACUUGAAUCACUUAUAAAAAGAGGACAUUCCAUCAUUGUGUCUUAGAUUAUUAUUAUUAUCGUUAUUGUCGAUAUCUUUAUUUAAUCAAUGUCAUUACCUUGAUCUUUUUCGAACGUCGUCAUCAUCAUUUUGGGGUAAAGUACUAUGCUCUGUUACCCCAUGCUUCAUUUCCUCUUUUCAUCAUCAUCUUCAUUAUUAAGAUAAUUAUUAUCAUAAGGUGAUUUUCAUCAUUUUGUUACCAUCACUUUUUCAUCAUUCCAGUGCUCUUCUCUCGGUCAUCCACAUUCUUUGAAUCGCACCUUGUUUUUACCAUAAAAUUCUAAUAACAAUACACAUACAUUUAUCUUUGUUCCGUUCUUUUCAACUUUCUUCGGUCUUCGUUUACUGCUCGUCGUGAUUUAGCAUAGUGUCAUACUGUUUCGCUUGUUUUCGUUUUUGUGUCUCUGUCAAAUGGGGCACCAUCCACCUCCCGCAUCUAUUUGUGAUCUAUUUGUGUCCCCAUCCUGCCCCUAUUUGCUGCACCCCUCUUGUUGUAUCCCUCUUACCGGUCUCUUUUCCACUAGUUCUGUCUUUGCCCAUUUUACUGCCGUUAAAGUCUCUCUAAGCAUUUACUAGGCAGCUGUUCGGUUUUCUAUAUCUUAUCAACUCUAUUUAGGUCCCUAUUGGCCUUUUUUCAUGACACGCUGGCCGUUCGUGAAAAUGGCAAUGUUUUCGUUCUCACCCGAUUUUCCCAUGUUGGCAUCUGCUGUGACCCCCCACUUGUCGGCGCCGACGUCCCUCGCACUUCGCCCAUCUGUAUACUUCUCCUGUCUUGCGUUUACAUAUUUUUCGCUAUUACACAUUCUCCUAGAUCAUCUAGUUCAAUCCAUUAUUCGUAAUCAGGAUCAGUCGCGUCACUGUUAAUACGACCAAUCAAUCCUUUUUCAGUUCGUCGACAUCAUACAAGCAUUCUUUACCUGCUGGGUACUCUCCUGCCCGCGUUGUUUUUUUUCGCACACAAACACACACGCACACGCACACACAUAUAUAUAUAUAUAUAUAUAUAUAUAUAUAUAUAUAUAUAUAUUAGGUUAUUACUACAUUUGUUCUGUCUCUCUGCUGCUGUUAAAGUUAUUCUUUGCUAGCGUACAACUACUGUUAGCGCUGUUACAGUCUGUCGUUAUUAUCAAGUACAAAUGGUAGUAGCAGUGCUGCCAACGGUACCCUCAUGAUAGUGCGGUGUAAAGAGUUUGCCUGUUAGAUCUGAGGGCACGUAGUGGUCCGAAUUCGAAGCCAAGGAUAAAUACACAUUGCUUAAUGUUGGAAAAGCCAUCUGUCUGAAGGAAUGCUUAGGUACAGAACGUUGAACUCGAGACGCGUUUUUAUAGCCGAUGGUGCCGAGCGACAGAGGUUUGCACACUACAUUUUUUUCCUCUUUGAAGUUUGACGUAACGUAAGUAAUGUAUUUAUAAUUAUUUAUUUUAUUAUUAAUCAUGAUGUUAUAAAGAGGUACGCGAGAGUCAUACACGGUGUACUAGUACGGAAAUAACGUACACUCGUAUCUGCCUGUCUGUUGAGUGGAUUGCUCUGGCACUCACCGUAUCCAGGUAGCUAAACUGUUCCCUAAUUUCCUAUUAAAAGUAACCGAAUCCAUUUGAUAGAAGAAUUCCACUUCACAGUACGACUUAACAUUUUUGUGGAUGAGACACGACAUGCAUCAUGCAAAUAGGAAACACUUUUAUUUAUUAAAAGACUCUUUAAUUAAUUAGUUGCUUAUAAUUAUUUCCGUUUUGAAACUUCUUUAUUCUAUUCACUCACAUUCGCCGUACCCACUAUUUGUAUGUUGUUCUUAUGCCAUUCGUGCUUAUAAACUCAGGUGUCUCUGCUGGUUGGGAUCUAAUUGGGAGACCGUGGACUUUAUAAUUUGUGUUCUUAUUUGUUACUGUUGACGCUCAGCCGACUAGGUAAUUUAUGUUCAGCCUUCCAAUAAUCAAACAGUGGCUCUCGUUCUUCGUUUUAGCUUCAGACAAAAAAAGCUCUGCUUACAUCCCAUUUAAGUUUCCCCUCAUUCAGUCAAUCGAUACUAUGCACAAAUAGUUGUAUGUACUAUGUUCUGGUGCCAGUGACCAUAGGAAAAGGCGGCAGACCCAUCCAUCCAAAUGUUUCAUUCUCAACUCUGAUUUAAUCUCGCAACUUUUUUGUAACUGAGUUUCAUCGGCUUCUACUGGCUUCUGCCUUUUAUUCUAGUUUAGCAGCAUCUGCUGUCUGCAGGAAUUUCUACUCAAGCGCUUCACACGGUUCCUAUUUGAUAAUAAUAAUGAUUGACUUAUUGCUAUCGAAAACUUAAUCAUGCCUCUUGUUCUUGAUGUUACAUCCAUCGAAAGAUCCUUUACAAGCCCUCUAAAUAAUCUGAAACUACUAAAUGAUUAGGGGAACGUUAUAUUAAAUUCGAAAAUAUUACAACUCGAAGGUUUCGUUUUACCGCUAGCAUGAAUUCAUAAUAAGUGUGUCUGUAUACCAGAAAGCCUCUAUCGAUGCAAAUGUCAACGAGCAAGCUCCGUAUGUUAUUUAUCGCAAGGUAAUAGAACAAGGAGUUCAUGUCCUACCAUGUUGAUUAUUGUUGUAGAUGGUGGUGCUGUUCAUCUCUUGUCGUCAGUUCAAAAAGGCGUCGUUCAAGCGAAAUUCGUAAAAUUACGAUUUGGCAAUCAAUAAUAAAUAUUUUUUGUAUGGUAUCUGAUGACUAAGGGCUGAGUUUUAUGUUUUUUUUUUUAUUUUACGACUACCCCCAGCGGUCACUCAUUAAAAAAGUCAUAAUGAUAA